UACGACGGGGGCUAGCGUUGUUCGGAUUUACUGGGCGUAAAGGGCGCGUAGGCGGAUUUUUAAGUCGGGGGUGAAAUCCCGGAGCUCAACUCCGGAACUGCCUUCGAUACUGAAAGUCUGGAGCACGGUAGAGGUGAGUGGAAUUCCGAGUGUAGAGGUGAAAUUCGUAGAUAUUCGGAGGAACACCAGUGGCGAAGGCGGCUCACUGGACCGUUGCUGACGCUGAGGCUCGCAAGCGUGGGGAGCAAACAGG
rnacentral:rRNA from 1 species